AGUUAUGGGGAAAAAGUCAAAUACAUGUGCUAUAAUAAAUUCAAAAUGAAAGGCUACCAAUACUUGACCUGUGUGCAAGGUGAAUGGAGAGGAUACUUUACGUGUUUGAAGCCCUGUUUGAUGACAGUGGAAGAAAUGAAUAAAAGGGGUAUAGAGUUUAAGUGGAGUGAACAGCAAAAAUAUUCUCACCACACAUGGAUGCAGUCUCUUUGCAUGUCAGACAGGCAAAUAUAUAAAAGAUGAAACUGCCUUAAGACAAACAU